rnacentral:tRNA from 1 species
GUCGGCGUGGCGGAAUUGGUAGACGCGCAUGGUUGAGGGCCAUGUGGACUUCGGUCCUUGGGAGUUCAAGUCUCCCCGCCGACA